CCUAAAGGCAGUUUGGCACCUGUACAGUCUUCAUAAGAAUGCAGCAAUGCUUCAUGGACAAAUUGCUCACAUCUGACACGUGGCAUGUGUCCAAAGUGCAUUGAAAGUAGUGUGGUCACAUUUGCAAUUAAAACAGGCAGCACCAGCAUAUUUAGUUAAAAUUCAAUAAAUUAAUGGCUUUCUACAUAUAUUAAUUACACAGUGCACACAUGGUUAAACAGAU